rnacentral:lncRNA from 1 species
AGGCAGAUGCAGUGCAGAUGGCAGAAGAAGUUUGGAGUCUUGAAGUUCGCUGCUGCCGAGGUUCAACACGUUGGAAAUAUCGGGACCGGCAUCACGGUGAGCUGCUGGGAAACCGGCUCGGCAGUUGUGGUGGUGACCCCUAUCAUGUGGCAGGCCCUGGACAUCCUCUUGCGACAGAACUGAGCGCACCGCCACAGUAGCAAUGAUGGCUGGCGCUGUCCGCAUGGACAGUGAACAGAGCGUCGAGGGGUACUCGGUAGCUUUCAAACUUCUCAGCGAAACCCAUCUGCUCGUGUUUGGGGAGUCAAUUCGCACAAGAGCCCCACUUGCGGUGGCUGGACGUCAUGAAGGAACACAAUCCGACAUACCUAGAGAUUAAUCAAUGCCGUGGGGAUGAGCUGGACCGUGUAAUGAACAAGACCGACGUGACUGGGCUAUGCUCACAUUUGAAGCAGUGCAGUUUCCACUUGAUUACUUCCAUAAUCAUUGAAAACCCGUAGAUGUCUGAGAACAUACUCUCACCCCAAAAUGGGCCAGUUGAGGAGGUUACCCUUCGACGCACUUAGUAAGGCGCAGAAUAUUAUGCUGCUGCGCUACAGGGUCCGAUCGAGAAAAGUAAACCCUCCUUUUCGGCCCGCAUAAAAAGACUAUGCAUAGCAGAACGCUCAAACUC